rnacentral:rRNA from 1 species
AGUGAACGCUGGCGGUAGGCCUAACACAUGCAAGUCGAACGGCAGCACAGUAAGAGCUUGCUCCUACGGGUGGCGAGUGGCGGACGGGUGAGGAAUACAUCGGAAUCUACUUUUUCGUGGGGGAUAACGUAGGGAAACUUACGCUAAUACCGCAUACGACCUACGGGUGAAAGCAGGGGAUCUUCGGACCUUGCGCGAUUGAAUGAGCCGAUGUCGGAUUAGCUAGUUGGCGGGGUAAAGGCCCACCAAGGCGACGAUCCGUAGCUGGUCUGAGAGGAUGACCGGCCACACUGGAACUGAAACACGGUCCAGACUCCAACGGGAGGCAGCAGUGGGGAAUAUUGGACAAUGGGCGCAAGCCUGAUCCAGCCAUACCGCGUGGGUGAAGAAGGCCUUCGGGUUGUAAAGCCCUUUUGUUGGGAAAGAAAAGCAGCAGGUUAAUACCCCGCUGUUCUGACGGUACCCAAAGAAUAAGCACCGGCUAACUUCGUG